rnacentral:rRNA from 1 species
CCGGCACGGGUGAGUAACACGUAUCCAACCUGCCGUCUACUCUUGGACAGCCUUCUGAAAGGAAGAUUAAUACAAGAUGGCAUCAUGAGUCCGCAUGUUCACAUGAUUAAAGGUAUUCCGGUAGACGAUGGGGAUGCGUUCCAUUAGAUAGUAGGCGGGGUAACGGCCCACCUAGUCUUCGAUGGAUAGGGGUUCUGAGAGGAAGGUCCCCCACAUUGGUACUGAGACACGGACCAA